rnacentral:rRNA from 1 species
CGCAACCCUUGUCCUUAGUUACCAGCACCUCGGGUGGGCACUCUAAGGAGACUGCCGGUGACAAACCGGAGGAAGGUGGGGAUGACGUCAAGUCAUCAUGGCCCUUACGGCCAGGGCUACACACGUGCUACAAUGGUCGGUACAAAGGGUUGCCAAGCCGCGAGGUGGAGCUAAUCCCAUAAAACCGAUCGUAGUCCGGAUCGCAGUCUGCAACUCGACUGCGUGAAGUCGGAAUCGCUAGUAAUCGUGAAUCAGAAUGUCACGGUGAAUACGUUCCCGG